CAAUACCUUACUUUUCUAUUUUGGCUUUUUAGUCAUUAUAUUAUUGUUCAAAAUUUAUAUAAUUAGAAGUAAUUUUAUUUUUAAUGACCACUGAAUCAUGUACAGUAGUAAAUGAAGGAAGACAUUGGUCCUUGCCUUUGGGGAGUUUAUUACAGAGGGAAAAACAGGAUUUCAAAUGCACCUGUCUCUCUUUCUUCCUACUGGGUGCAAUUCCUUCACCACGGACAGUGACACAAUGAAAACUUAGUUCUGAAUUUCAGUUUCGCUGUUGAUUACUUGGAAGAGUAAUCUGAAUCUCCCGUUCCCUUUUAAAAAAUAAGAUUAUAUGAGUCCCAUCCACCAAAUAGACAGAAGAAGAAGAUGAUGAUGAUUAAUUUGCAGUUAGUAAAUGCCCAUGUUCCUUCACAUCAACAACUUGAUUGGAAUUCGUAUACUUUUAGAAGUUUCACAAAUGGGCAUUAAAACCCACUGAGCCCCUUGGAAGCCUUUAUAGGCUUAGAAAAUUGUGUUUCCAAGUUUUAAAGUGCAAGGAAGCUCCUGGGAGCACAGCCCAUGAGUGUAAGCCUUCUCCAUCCCUGACUGAGCGAAUUACCAGAAUGUUGCCAAGAACGGGGUGCCAAUAAGGAUCUCAAAUUCCCCAACAAAUGAAGUCGGCAGUCCCCUAUGUGAUGCCUUCCUUAU
ensembl:lncRNA